rnacentral:rRNA from 1 species
GGUGAACGCUAGCUACAGGCUUAACACAUGCAAGUCGAGGGGAAACGACAUCGAAAGCUUGCUUUUGAUGGGCGUCGACCGGCGCACGGGUGAGUAACGCGUAUCCAACCUGCCCACCACUUGGGGAUAACCUUGCGAAAGUAAGACUAAUACCCAAUGACGUCUCUAGAAGACAUCUGAAAGGGGUUAAAGAUUUAUCGGUGAUGGAUGGGGAUGCGUCUGAUUAGCUUGUUGGCGGGGUAACGGCCCACCAAGGCUACGAUCAGUAGGGGUUCUGAGAGGAAGGUCCCCCACAUUGGAACUGAGACACGGUCCAAACUCCUACGGGAGGCAGCAGUGAGGAAUAUUGGUCAAUGGACGAGAGUCUGAACCAGCCAAGUAGCGUGCAGGAUGACGGCCCUAUGGGUUGUAAACUGCUUUUAUAAGGGAAUAAAGUGAGUCUCGUGAGACUUUUUGCAUGUACCUUAUGAAUAAGGACCGGCUAAUUCCGUGCCAGCCGCCGCGGUAA